UAGUUGAGCAGCUGACACCCAUGUAAUAGGAGGAGUGGACCAAAGAACAAUUCCUCUAUAUCCAGGAGUAUUUCACACCUUCUCUGGCAGAAACCUUUUCACCAUUUUAGGACUCCUUCUUUUGAAAGGUGGGUUUAUCCAUUGGGAUUCAUUUAACUGUAAAUAACAGAGUAUCCAGCAGGUCAUUUUGCAAACCCUACAUUAGUUACAUAGA
rnacentral:lncRNA from 1 species